UUUCCUGAAAACUAAAGGGACAUCCGGAAUCCCAAGGGAGCGCGGGAAACCUGCCGGUGUGUAAAGAAAGGGGCGACUGAAGCCAGGAGGGGGAAGGGGAGCAUCGUACGGAGGCGGGUAAGUCCAAUCUUGUUUUUUUCCGCGGUUCAAAUGCCAUAUUAUCUGCUUGCUAAUUCUGUUUUUUUCUGACGCUGAUGUGUGUGAAAGGGAAAGAAACGCUCUAUGCAAUGAAGAACUUGCUUUGCUUGAUGUUGAACGAGAGGCAUACUCUAAACUGCCUCUCGAAGAAAUAAUGGUUGAGGGACAGGCAUUGUUGUUUUUUAUGGUAGACUCUGGUGCAACCAACUCUGUCAUACGCAAAGAUGAAUUCCCAUUUGUCACCUUGAGUGGGCAGUUUAACUCAUCUAUGAGUGCUACGGGGCAUAUAGUGAGGGAAGAAUUUACUGCUCCACUCUGUUGUAUGCAUGACGGUAACGAGUUUAUGCAUAUGUUCCUCUUAUCUGACGCGUGUCCGGUAAACCUCAUGGGGAGGGAUUUGAUGUGUAAAAUUAAUGCUAGCAUCUUAUGUAACAACCAAGGCCUGAAUAUUUCUUGUUGGGAUCCCAGAAUGUCAUCUAUGUGUAUGUCUCUGUUAUAUGUGUACUGUAUGAAUGGGCCUUUCUGAAUGAAGAGUUGCAUGCUGAAGGGAAGAUAAGAUUGCCACAAGCCAGCGAGGUCAUUCCAGCUGAAAACAUGCAUUGCACAAGCUCAUGUUGUUGACAUAACAGAAAGAGAGUGGCAAGAGAGAUGGUUUUCUGUAAAGACAGAGGGUUUUGACUUUAACCCAUAUAUGCUGGAAUGACUCAUGGUGUGUGGCACUCGUUCAAAUUGACAGAAAAGCAAGAACAAAUUUUUGAUGUUGAAAAUUCGGUACCCCAUGUUUCUAUUGCAAAAAAUACCAGUCAGCCAUGGGAAAAGCAGGUGAAUUUGCAAAAGCCUGCAGCGAGGCUGUUGAUUGGGAAAUGUUGUCAGAUAACGUGCAGUUCUCAGAGCAGAUAACGGCACACAGAAGAGAUUAUGCUGCUUUUUCAUGGCUGAGAGAGAGAGAGUUGUAAUACAGAAAGCUGUUUCUGCAGAUUUCAACUCACAAAACAGUUUGUCAGUACACAUGACGUGUGCUAGUAUUGAUUUACCGCAAAAAGUUCUUGACAAUGUACCUGAUUACCUGUGGGCUAAAGACAAGUAUGAUGUGGGCUUGAUUAAAGGGUGUGAACCAGUAACUAUCACCCCAAAGAGUGAUUAUAGACCAUGUAAACCUCAAUAUCCUCUGAAAAGGGAGGCGCUUGAGGGGAUAAGGCCAGUAUUUUAGGCAUUAUUGGGAUAAUUAUUCCCUGCCCACACUCACCUGUGAGAACACCCAUUUUUCCUGUACAAAAGGUCAGGGAUGCAGGUCAGCCCACAGAGUGGAGGUUUGUUCAAGAUCUCCAAGCAGGAAAUGCUGUGGUACAAGCAAGAGCACCUCACGUGCCAAACCCUUACACAAUUCUCUCACAGAUACCAGCUGAUGGCCAGUGGUUUUCAGUGUAGUGGAUAUUUUCAAGUGCAUUCUUCAGAGUUCCUGUCCAUUCUGAUAGCCAGUUUUGGUUUGAUUUUACAUUUAAGGGGUAUAGCGAGAGCUGCACUAUUUACAAACUCUGCAUUGCAUUGUUCAUUACAGAAACUUGUGUUGGAUGAUGAUGUUGCUUUAUUGCAGUACGUGGAUGACCUCUUGGUGCCAGCACCGACUCAGCAAUCGUGCACAGACAACACCAAACGGCUGCUUACUCAUCUAGCUAAGGAAGGUCAUAAGGUAAACCAUAAUAAAGUCCAGUGCUCAGUCCAGAAAGUAACCUUUCUAGGAUAUGAAAUUAAACCAAUGGGUAAGUCUCUCUCUCCAAAGAGAAUAGAGGCAAUAGCUAAUAUACCAAAACCCAUCACAAAGAAACAAGUAAUGUAAUUUUUGGGCAUGACAUCAUAUUGCAGGACUUUUUAUUGCUAAUUAUUCUGAGAUGCAACAACCAUUGCAUGACAUGAUUUAUGAGAAACCUUUGGCACCAUCAGAGAAGGUAGGAUGGACAGAGAAGGCUGAAAGGGCAUUUGUGGAACUAAAACAGACAUUACAGCAGGCACCCACUUUGGGGUUGCCAGAUCCAAAAAAGCCUUUUAUUCAAACUGUGGAUGAAAGAAAUGGCUGUAUGACCUCUGUUUUGUUACAAGAACAUGGUGACAAGUUGAGACCAGUUGCAUAUUUUUCAGGACGCCUUGAUGCGGUGGCCAGGGGCCUACCAGGAUGUCUCAGGGCUUGAACAGCGCACAUCUCACUUGUCUGCAGCAAGAUGGCUGCGUUAUUCCUGUGCAUUGUUUCAGAUGUCUAAUGUCACAGUUGAAAGAUGUACAGUGCUAAACCCGGCGACAUUGUUACCUACACCUGAUGAAGGUACACCACAUUGUUGUUUGUCUGCCCUACGGGAAGUAUGCACACCAAGGCCUGACCUUGCUGACACACCCAUACCUAAAUGCACCCUCACAUAUUAUGUGGAUGGUUCCUCUUCCAGAGAUGACAGAGGCAUAGAUAGGAUGGGGUGGGCAGUUGUGUCUGACUUUGAAGUAGUGAAAUCCGGAUGCUUACCACCUCAGAAAUCUUCAAAGGUGGCUGAAUUGCAUGCACUAACACAAGCUUGUCAACUUGCUACUAAUCAAUCUAUAACCAUUUACAUUGACUGCUGAUUUUACUGACAGUUUCUCUCCUAUAACAAAUUUUACUCCUUUCUCAAAUAGCUGUGUGCAAAUGCAAAGCACACACCAAGGAACAGGACGUGAUCUCCAGAGGAAAUGCACGCACGGAUGCGGAAGCAUCUCUCAUGACUACUAACAAAAACGUUUCUUUUACACAGAUUUCCCAGGAAAAGGAAGCCGAAACACCACAGGAGUUACUAAUAAGCAUGCAAACAUUUUCUCUUCCAACAGAAAUAGCUCUAUGGAAAUCGUGUGGAGCAACCAAAACUCCUGAAGGGAUUUGGAUGGGUCCAAAUAAAAAAACCUUGCUUACCUAAACAUUUUUAUUCCCAUUUUGCUAGGUUGACACAUGGGGACCACGGUGACAUGCGAUACUCUUCAAAAUGAAAAUGACAUGUUGCAAUAUUGUAUUUCUAUGUCCUCUGUAUUUCAAAAUAUCUCCAAAGCAGGUUAAAUCAGCCUUACCCCGUCCAGUAGAAGAACCAUUACACAACAUCAAACCAGGGGAUUACGUGGUGGUAAAGAACCUCAGGAGGAAAUCCUGGAAAGCCAGACGGUGGGAGGGGCCAUUUCAGGUUCUGCUGACGACUCACACCGCUGUGAAGGUCGCGGAGCGUGCCACCUGGGUGCACGUUGCCCAUUGCCGGAGGGUUGGUCCUGGACUGCAAGGUGUAAACCAAAGGGAGGACGGCUAGUCGACUGCUACGGACCACUUUUUCGUAUUGGUGGGAACCACAGAUACCUGUAUACUGCAAGUUUAUACGAAGAACGACACGAGAGAACUGCAACAGCUCACAAAGUAUUGGAGGACGACUCCAGUAUUCUGGGUUUGGUUUGGACACACGCACACGACAUCUUUAAUGAUAGCUUGGCACGACUGCACCGUGUGGUCCUACCAAACCCGAACCUACAAAGGAAAUUAAUCAACAAGGGCUCACGACCCCAACUCUAACUGUGCUCAGGGCUCACGACCCCAACUCUAACUGUGCUCAAUCCGGAAUCAUCAAGGGCUCACGACCCCAACUCUAACUGUGCUCAAUUUCUUCAAGAAAACGAACUAUUUUUCUUCUUUCAAAAAUGAGAUUCAUGAUCAUACUAUGUGUGUGUGCAUUUUUACUUUUGCAACUGCACAGAACUAUAUGUACACUAUGGUUAAGGGUAAUAACCAGAGCUACUUAACGAUGACAGUAAAUGAAGUUAUGAAUAAAUCAUAAAAAGGGAGGAGUGUAGUGGAGGAUUUUAUUAUGCUUUCUUUUCAUAUUAUUAUGCUUUAUUUUUCAUCCUAUUUUUCAUUUUUUAAUAACAAUCUGAAGCUCACAAAUUGUGAUUCAUAUGGAAAUCAUGUUUUUCUGCUAACGUACAGAAUUAUGCUCUUUCUGUCUUUUCAGCAAGUACAAUGUCCAAGGAAGGACUUAAACAUCAUGUACCAGCAUGUACUGUCCUUUAUGAUUAUGUUUAACGGUCUUUGCUCUUAAUCACUGACAACUGAAGGCUAUCUUCUAAAUGACGUAGAAACGGAUGAUUGUACGUGUUUCAGCAUCUUACUAUAAAUGUGUCUUCAACCUUGUGAUCGGGGCUCUUAGGUUUUUAAACUUCUUGCACCAUGGGGGUGAGAGCCUAUUCUGCAGAAUAUAUAAAAUUCAGACAAAGAAAAUUC